AUUGAACGCUGGCGACAUGCCUUACACAUGCAAGUCGAACGGCAGCACGGGUGCUUGCACCUGGUGGCGAGUGGCGAACGGGUGAGUAAUACAUCGGAACAUGUCCUUUAGUGGGGGAUAGCCCGGCGAAAGCCGGAUUAAUACCGCAUACGAUCUACGGAUGAAAGCGGGGGACCUUCGGGCCUCGCGCUAUAGGGUUGGCCGGUGGCUGAUUAGCUAGUUGGUGGGGUAAAGGCCUACCAAGGCGACGAUCAGUAGCUGGUCUGAGAGGACGACCAGCCACACUGGAAGUGAGACACGGCCCAGAAUCCUGCGGGAGGCAGCAGUGGGGAAUUUUGGACAAUGGGCGAAAGCCUGAUCCAGCAAUGCCGCGUGUGUGAAGAAGGCCUUCGGGUUGUAAAGCACUUUUGUCCGGAAAGAAAUCCUUGGCCCUAAUACGGUCGGGGGAUGACGGUACCGGAAGAAUAAGCACCGGCUAACUACGUG
rnacentral:rRNA from 1 species